rnacentral:rRNA from 1 species
CAGCAGCCGCGGUAAUACGGAGGGAGCUAGCGUUGUUCGGAAUUACUGGGCGUAAAGCGCACGUAGGCGGCUUUGUAAGUUAGAGGUGAGAGCCUGGAGCUCAACUCCAGAAUUGCCUUUAAGACUGCAUCGCUUGAAUCCAGGAGAGGUGAGUGGAAUUCCGAGUGUAGAGGUGAAAUUCGUAGAUAUUCGGAAGAACACCAGUGGCGAAGGCGGCUCACUGGACUGGUAUUGACGCUGAGGUGCGAAAGCGUGGGGAGCAAACAGGAUUAGAUACCCCCGUAGUCCCUGUCUCUUAUAU